UUGUUUGCGGGUGGAGCAUCAUCAAGAUUCACAUGCAAAUGCACGGCCGGUGAUGUUAAGAGUUAAAUCUUUCUUUGUUUCUGUUCAUCUGCCAAAGUUCUUUGGAAGUGAGAAUCUUGAUGAUGCUGCAUCGGCAAUAAA
rfam:Populus trichocarpa scaffold_9_contig_75, whole genome shotgun sequence.